ACAGGAGGCUGGCAACGAGUACUUUGAAAAGCACAGUAGUGCAGUACAACAGCUGGCAUCCAGGGACUGGCACCGAGUGAACAGGCAGGAAGAGCUACUGACUGGAAGAGAGGAGGUGGGAGAUGGUAGAAAUGAAGGACCCUCAGCAACAGGAGACGGAGGGCGAGCUGAAGUUUCACUCACGCCUGACGCUGACGGCACAGGUGUGGUAACCGUGCACAGAGAGGCUAGUAAGUCACCCAGCGUUACACAGUGAGAAGUGGUGAAGCAGUGCUUGAAUCCAGGAGUCUGGUCCCAAAGUCCAUGCUCUUCCACUGCUCUGUUGCCUCACCAGGGCGGCCUUUGGCCCAGC